rnacentral:rRNA from 1 species
CGUAGGGUGCGAGCGUUAAUCGGAGUUACUGGGCGUAAAGCGUGCGCAGGCGGUUUUGUAAGACAGGCGUGAAAUCCCCGGGCUCAACCUGGGAACUGCGCUUGUGACUGCAAGGCUAGAGUACGGCAGAGGGGGGUGGAAUUCCACGUGUAGCAGUGAAAUGCGUAGAGAUGUGGAGGAACACCAAUGGCGAAGGCAGCCCCCUGGGUCGAUACUGACGCUCAUGCACGAAAGCGUGGGUAGCAAACAGGAUUAGAUACCCUGGUAGUCCACGCCCUAAACGAUGUCAACUAGGUGUUGGGUGGGUAAAACCAUUUAGUACCGGAGCUAACGCGUGAAGUUGACCGCCUGGGGAGUACGGCCGCAAGGUUA